rnacentral:rRNA from 1 species
GUUGUAUGGUUAAGUGACUAAGCGUACAUGGUGGAUGCCUUGGCAGUCAGAGGCGAUGAAGGACGUACUAACCUGCGAUAAGCCGUGAGCAGUCGGUAAGAGACAUUACGACUCACGGAUUUCCGAAUGGGGAAACCCACUUAGCAUAAGCUAGGUAUCGCUACGUGAAUACAUAGCGUAGCGAGGCGAACCGGGAGAACUGAAACAUCUAAGUACCCCGAGGAAAAGAAAUCAACCGAGAUUCCCUCAGUAGCGGCGAGCGAACGGGGAUUAGCCCUUAAGCAUCUUGGAAGUUAGUGGAACGGUCCUGGAAAGGCCGGCGAUACAGGGUGAUAGCCCCGUACACGAAAACAACCUUGAUGUGAAAUCGAGUAGGGCGGGACACGUGACAUCCUGUCUGAAUAUGGGGGGACCAUCCUCCAAGGCUAAAUACUCCUGACUGACCGAUAGUGAACCAGUACCGUGAGGGAAAGGCGAAAAGAACCCCUGUGAGGGGAGUGAAAUAGAACCUGAAACCGUGUACGUACAAGCAGUGGGAGCCCUUCGGGGUGACUGCGUACCUUUUGUAUAAUGGGUCAGCGACUUACAUUUUGUAGCGAGGUUAACCGUAUAGGGGAGCCGUAGGGAAACCGAGUCUUAACUGGGCGUCUAGUUGCAAGGUGUAGACCCGAAACCGGGUGAUCUAGCCAUGGGCAGGUUGAAGGUUGAGUAACAUCAACUGGAGGACCGAACCCACUAACGUUGCAAAGUUAGGGGAUGACCUGUGGCUGGGGGUGAAAGGCCAAUCAAACUCGGAGAUAGCUGGUUCUCCCCGAAAGCUAUUUAGGUAGCGCCUCGGACGAAUACUACUGGGGGUAGAGCACUGUUUGGGCUAGGGGGUCAUCCCGACUUACCAACCCCAUGCAAACUCCGAAUACCAGUAAGUAAUAUCCGGGAGACACACGGCGGGUGCUAACGUCCGUCGUGAAGAGGGAAACAACCCAGACCGCCGGCUAAGGUCCCAAAGUUCUGGUUAAGUGGGAAACGAUGUGGGAAGGCUCAGACAGCUAGGAUGUUGGCUUAGAAGCAGCCAUCAUUUAAAGAAAGCGUAAUAGCUCACUAGUCGAGUCGGCCUGCGCGGAAGAUGUAACGGGGCUCAAACCAGGCACCGAAGCCGCGGAUUCACGCUAAGCGUGAGUGGUAGGGGAGCGU